rnacentral:tRNA from 1 species
GCUGGCUCAGUCAGUAGAGCAUGCGACUCUUAAUCUCAAGGUUAUGAGUUCAAGCCUCACAUUGAGCA